AUGUACUACCUCAUGGUUGGAUGUCCCUUCUCGCGCCAAAUCUGGCAUGAGGUUCUUGCUUGGUGUUGGUCGACGAUAUCCACCCCAUGUCCGACGACCCCCUUUGUGGACUUGUGGGCGUCUUCUUGCUCCCAAAUGCCAACCUCCGUACGCCGAGGUUUAUCCUCGAUCAUCAUACUCUCGGCCUGACACCUUUGGAAGUACCGCAACGGUUGUAUCUUCGACAAAUCUCGGACAUCCGCCACUCGCGUGUUGCAAACUAUCCAGGACGACGCACGAUGUUGGGAAAGAGCCGGCGCCACCAGGAUUGGCACCAUCAUCUUGUGUGAUGUAACCAAACAUGUACUUUCUUCUACCCUUCUAUCAAUGGGAUUAUAUGCAAGCUUUGCGAAAAAAGAAAAUGAACUGAGCACUUUAGUUUAA
rnacentral:rRNA from 1 species